CACCUGCAGCAAGAGGGCGGACGGCACAUUUUACGACUGCAACGAAAAGGAUUUCAAGGGAUGCAUGUUUGCUUUCUCUAAGUGAAGUCGGAUACAAAUAGUCUAAUUGUACAUGAGAAAUUGCAAUCGAACAUCGGCAUCCUCACGCGGUUGAGGCCAAAUUGAUUAGGAAUUGAGGAUAGCACAAACAGCAUUUUUUCUGCGUAAUUCGCAGCAAGAAUUCAGAUUUGACACGGACACCAUACGGUGUGACUACGCAUWAUGCGUAGGAAUCGAUCGCAAAACAUUUCCUGGAUCCUAUUUCGGCGUUGAGAAGGUAAAUACUGUCAGUGACUACAGAUGAUCACAGGUCCCCCCUCCCUAACAGUACAGAGGCUACCAGGCUAAUGGUAGCCGCUAUGAGUCGGGCGAAGAGCGAGAGACCAAACCCGGAGGAUUUCGGACAGAUGGAAUAGAAAGAAUGCUGCUCUCUCAAAAUGCAUCACAGUAGACGGAUAACAAGCUGACUCCAAACAAAUAUACAGCAAACUUUCAGCGCUGACAUGACGCUGGGGUUUAAAUAAGAUGUUUUAAACUGUCCGAGAACUGACAAAAUGCAUGUGCAAACUGAUCAGCUGGAUUGUUGAAAUGACUUGGUCGGCGCUGACGCUGUCUGAUGGCUCAAACUGCAUAAUAGCCAAAUGGCAUUUUAUUUUGCGUCGACUUGACGUUUGGACCUCCAAUAUUGGAUCAGUUGUCUAGCUAGAAGUUCGGAUGAAAGUAAACAACUGGUGCAAUGUCAAACUACAUGGUCCGGAGCGUAAUGUACUAUUCGUGCUGAAGCGUAUGGGUCCUGCGUACUCAAGCUCCCGACUCCCACACAAAAAGGAUUGUCUCUGUUGCGGGGGGUGCAGUGCAGUAGCUGUCACYGCUCCACAUCUGGCUACUGACUGGAUAGUUAACUAGCUAGCUAGCUAACUGUUUUUCCUCUUGGGAAGCUAGUGAGGUUGAAUGAGUUUCUGCAUCAUUCGAGAGAAAGAUUGCUUUGUGAAAUCACCUCGGUGGUUAUCGUGUUCCGAAGAAGGGACCCGUAUUUUGGACAAUAUCUGAGAUCAAUCGAACAGUUUGAAGUGGUUCACAGCUGUCUUCUUAGCGAAAACACAUAAGGACUUUGCGUAAGUCACGUAUUUUUAAAGGCAAAGAUAGGGUGACAUUGCAGUCUCAUCAUAUUGGAUUUAACGUCGCCCGACAAAAAAAAGUGAAAGUGGGGCAUUGUCCGUCACACGUAUUAACGCAGUGGGAUUUGUACGUCUGGUCGGCGUUUCCCCCCACCCUUCCCUUGGUGACGGUGAUGGGUCGGAAGCGGUGUGUCGGUGCAGAUUGUUCCAAGAUGGCGGCCGGGUGCUGCGGGGUGAAGAAGCAGAAGCUGUCGGGAUCCCCCGGGUCGGGGGGUCCUGGCGGGGUGGGGGCGGGAAACGGAGUGGCAGGGACCGGACAUUGUGGAUCGGACUUGGGGAUUGGUUCCUCCUCGACUGUGGCGGCAGGGAACAUGAAUCGAGUGAACGGCCUGGGGUGUCCUGGGGGUAGUAGUAGUAGCACCAACGCGUUGUCCCCAACCCCGGGAGGCUACAACUCAACUGGCCUCUCCCCGAAUCUAAGCCCGGGAUCUGGUUCGGGAAGUGGAGGCAGGAAGAUGGUUGUUUCGGCGGAGAUGUGCUGCUUCUGUUUCGACGUGCUUUAUUGCCAUCUGUAUGGAUACCAACCUCCCCGAACACCUAGGUUUACAAACGAUUCCUACCCGCUGUUUGUCACAUGGAAAAUAGGCAGAGACAAGCGGUUGAGGGGAUGUAUAGGUACAUUUUCUGCCAUGAACCUCCACCCAGGACUCAGGGAGUACACCCUUACCAGUGCCCUUAAAGACAGCCGCUUUCCCCCCGUGACGAGGGACGAGCUGCCACGCCUCUUCUGCUCGGUGUCUCUGCUCACCAACUUCGAGGACGUCGGUGAUUACCUUGACUGGGAGGUGGGUGUUCAUGGCAUUAGGAUAGAGUUUUUCAAUGAAAAAGGAUCAAAGCGCACCGCCACCUACCUACCAGAGGUCGCAAAAGAGCAAGGAUGGGACCACAUUCAGACCAUAGAUUCCUUACUACGAAAGGGAGGCUACAAAGCUCCCAUCACAAAUGACUUCAGGAAGACCAUUAAGUUGACCAGGUACCGUAGCGAGAAGAUGACAAUGAGCUAUGCUGAGUACAUUGCCCACCGCCAGCACCAUCACUACCAGAACGGCACCGGGCACCCUCUACCCCCAUACAACCAUUAUUCCUGACAGCGAGCCGCAUGACCAAUCACUGGACCUCUCUGCCGACCUUUUCCCAGGAGAGCCCGCCCCCUCCUGGUCUAGCUAUCUCUACUACUGUACCAUUUUAUGAUGAUAGUUUCCGUUGCCAUGCUGACGCUCUCCCAGACGUUGACGUGGCAACGGGUGGCAAAAUGAGCAUCAAUUGAUGAUGACGAGAAAAAACUAAAAUCUUUUAUUUUUAUCCUCCUAUUGAUUUAGUUUUUGCAGCAUAUAUAUCAAUAUCUAUAACCCCUUUAGUUUUUAUUUUUGUUCACAAAUACUCGAUUUUCCUAAAUGUAUUAUUUUCAAACAAUCCUAAUCAGGCUUUUGAUUCUGUGGAUGGAAGCAAGUCAUAUAUAUGGUGAAUUCGUAAUGCAUAAAGGUAUAGGCUCAUAUUUUGUGUAGGCUUAGCUACAGUGUCCCAUCUAUUAGGGACAUGUUUAUCUUUUUCUGUUGAAUCCUUUCUUAGUAGCCAGCUUGGCAUUAUGUGUGUCAUGUGGCAAGCCAACAGCCGUUCUGGAAGACUCAAUUUUGCGAUUCUUCUCAAGAAAUAGACUAAUGUUGGUUUGGCCUUUGUAACCCGUUGUAGUGCUGUAGAUUGUAGGGUUGUGAUGCCACGCCACUAGUACUUGCUGGUCUUUUUUAUUACAUUACCCCACACGUGUUUGCUUUUCUGUGUGUGGUUAGAAGUUUGUUGUUAAAUUCACAUCCGACAGGAGAUUGAAACCGCUGUAUUAAAUUAGGAAUAGGAUCAUGACAAAAUAUUUGACAGAGACGUUCAUUUCCACCCCUGAGUGUUUUGUAAUGAAACCUGCAAAACUUGAAUUGAAUUUGUUCGGCUCCAGCUCAGAUAUUUUCACCCGCUCUUCUUUCCAACUUGAGAAAUGUAUGGAGGAAGCCAUUUUAGCAUGAUCAUGGCUGCGUCAAAGGAGGUAAUCUGUCCCUUGUCUCUGUGAAGCAGGCCGCUAGUGAAAGUGAUCCAUAGGGCUGGAGGGUGUGAUAGGAUUGGAGCGUUGACUGCAGGGCUGGAGGUUGUGAUAGGGUUGGAGAGUUGACUGCAGGGCUGGAGGUUGUGAUAGGGUUGGAGAGUUGACUGCAGGGCUGGAGGUUGUGAAUAGGGUUGGAGAG